GACGAACGCUGGCGGCGUGGAUUAGGCAUGCAAGUCGAACGGUAUCAUCCUUUCGGGGGUGAGAGAGUGGCGAACUGGUGAGUAACACGUAGGUUAUCUACCCUCAAGACGGGGACAACCCAGGGAAACUUGGGCUAAUACCGGAUGUGAGCAACUUUUAGUUGUUUGAAAGGUGGCGUAAGCUGUCGCUUGGGGAUGAGCCUGCGUCCUAUUAGUUAGUUGGUGAGGUAACGGCUCACCUAGGCAAUGAUAGGUAGGCGGCCCUUAACGGGUGGUCGCCCACACUGGGAUUGAGAUACGGCCCAGACUCCUACGGGAGGCAGCAGUCGAGAAUAGUCUACAAUGGUCGGAAGACUGAUAGUGCGACGCCGCGUGAACGAUGAAUCCCUUCGGGGUGUAAAGUUCUUUUAUAUGUGAGCAGUGCUUCUUAUAUUAACAGUAUGGGGAGAGAGAUAUUAGCAUAUGAAUAAGCAACGGCUAACUCCGUGCCAGCAGCCGCGGUAAACUCGU
rnacentral:rRNA from 1 species